ACACCACGAGAGUUUACAACACCCGAAGUCGGUGAGGUAACCGCAAGGGGSCAGCCGCCGAAGGUGGGGUAGAUGAUUGGGGUGAAGUCGUAACAAGGUAGCCGUAUCGGAAGGUGCGGCUGGAUCACCUCCUUU
rnacentral:rRNA from 1 species